rnacentral:rRNA from 1 species
UACGUAGGGUGCAAGCGUUGUCCGGAAUUAUUGGGCGUAAAGAGCUCGUAGGCGGUCUGUCGCGUCGGCUGUGAAAACCCGGAGCUCAACUCCGGGCCUGCAGUCGAUACGGGCAGACUGGAGUUCGGCAGGGGAGACUGGAAUUCCUGGUGUAGCGGUGAAAUGCGCAGAUAUCAGGAGGAACACCGGUGGCGAAGGCGGUGGUCUGGGCCGGCACUGACGCUGAGGAGCGAAAGCGUGGGGAGCGAACAGG